UGCUUUCCUCUGAGAGUCGACUCGUACUUAACUAGGAGUCGACUCGCCAAACGUCGGAGUCGACUCGUAACCUUCUAGAGUUGACUCGGUUGCAGGGUCUGAAAUACAUUGUUCUGUCUUUCUUCUGUUACCCUUUGGAGUCGACUCGAAAACGUCGGGAGUCGACUCGGCAACCAUCGGAGUCGACUCGAACCCUUCUGGAGUCGACUCGCUGACAGGGUCUGAAAAUCAACUUUCUGUCUUUCUGUCAGUUCUCAGUCGGAGUCGACUCGUAGUGUACCGGAGUCGACUCGAGCAUGUGCCAGA
rnacentral:lncRNA from 1 species